AUUGAACGCUGGCGGCAUGCCUUACACAUGCAAGUCGAACGGUAACAGGUCUUCGGAUGCUGACGAGUGGCGAACGGGUGAGUAAUACAUCGGAACGUGCCCGAUCGUGGGGGAUAACGGAGCGAAAGCUUUGCUAAUACCGCAUACGAUCUACGGAUGAAAGCAGGGGACCGCAAGGCCUUGCGCGGACGGAGCGGCCGAUGGCAGGUUAGGUAGUUGGUGGGAUAAAAGCUUACCAAGCCGGCGAUCUGGAGCCGGUCUGAGAGGACGACCAGCCACACUGGGACUGAGACACGGCCCAGACUCCUACGGGAGGCAGCAGUGGGGAAUUUUGGACAAUGGGCGAAAGCCUGAUCCAGCCAUGCCGCGUGCAGGAUGAAGGCCUUCGGGUUGUAAACUGCUUUUGUACGGAACGAAAAGACUCUUUCUAAUAAAGAGGGUCCAUGACGGUACCGUAAGAAUAAGCACCGGCUAACUACGUGCCAGCCGCCGCCGUAAUAC
rnacentral:rRNA from 1 species